rnacentral:lncRNA from 10 species
CCAAGCUUGGGCAGGAAGAGGGAAGGAAAGAGAAACUUUACGCCAAUCCCCCCCCUCCUCUGCUAACUUCCCCUCCCACCCUCGGGCCCUAACUAGCCCCGGGGACGCCUCCUCCCCACCAACGCAUCCAUCCCCAGAGGAACAAGCGAGGAUCUCAGAGCGCGACCUGGACAGGCUCUCACAAAAGUCACCGCGUUUGUGUAGGUAACUAAGGCCUACCGAAACCAGUCAGCCCUAAGUGCACACAGGAGAACCAUGGAGUUGGAGGAAAAGUGUCUUGCCUUAGACGACGUUUGAGAAUUUGUCAGAACAGGGCCUGGAGGGAAUAAAAAGGAGGUGAGAAGUCUCUGUAGAGAUCAUCAACAUGGCCCAUCUCUCCUUAAAAGUAAGCCAAGUAAACUCACUUAUUAGAAGAAUGACAUCAUCAGGACUGUUUCUGAGAAAGCCUACUUCUGCUCCUUACCAUAUGUAGAAAUAUAAUUUCAUAUUAAAGACCAAGAAUUCAGACAUCAUCCUGGUGCAUACAUCAGGAUUGCAACGAUAAAUGCUUUGGAAAUGUCAUUGGAGGAAGGUAAUGUUUGACAUAGGAAAGAGAAGACUUGUGGGAACAUGGCUGCUGUUUCUAAUAUUGUGUUAUGAAAUUGGGAGCAAAUGUGUUCUUUGCCUCUAGAAGGUGAAAUUAGGGCCCAUGAAUGGGUGAAAGAAGCAAGAAGAUUUGGGCUCAGACCAAGGGGAAGAAUAAGUGUCUACCAUGCUUAGCCUUAGUGGGUAAGAUAGUUCAUUUUUAUACCACUACAUCCCUAUAUGUUAAAGAUUAUCAUUCUUUUUUUUUUUUUUUACAUAUAAGGAAAGCAAGACUCAGGGAGUAUCCUGCCCUGUUCACAGGGGCAGAGCUGGAUUUGAGCCCAGGUCUUAGAAGACAGAGGCCGUGGCCUUUUCCCUAUGCCUUUCUGCCUCCUGGACCUGUGGAGCAGAGAUGUUCACUCAUGCCUGGGCCAUUCUGUGCACCAGUGCCCCUCUCUUCAGGGAAGAUAUUCAAUCAGAGUGUGUAGCCCCAGUAAUUCUGGCAUUGGGUGCAAGGUUGCACAAGAUGACUUUUAAGACCCCAUCCAAACGUCAGCUCCUAUUCUUCCAAUUCAAACAGGAGUAAAUGAACAGAUCGCAGUUUAAGAGCUUCAUGGUGUCUUUAUAUUCUUCCUGCCGCUCUGUGCCAAUCAGCAUGUCUGUUCUUUCAGGACUGCAUGAUAACCUUCUUGAAAGACAUCUCAUAUUCCACUCCAACUCCAAAAAUUUUAGUAGCUCCCAUUUGCCUAUGGAAUAAACAAAAUAAUAUGGAAUGAAUGAAGAAACAAA